GGAGCCCAAAGUUUCCAGUUGGCACUCUUAACUUCCAGUUCAAUGGAAUGGUUGUUGUGUCUCACAGUUGUAAUAUUCUCUCUGAAACUGAGACUUCUAGACCAGCAGAUUAUAAAAUCACUGAAACAGAAAGCAAGAACUUUACUAGUGGGUAACUAGGGGUAAUACUGACUGGUGUCACUCUCAUUUUCACUCUUAAUUCCUAGACCCUUGAAUCCUGACUAUUGGAGAAACAGCACCAUAUUUUGGAUACUGAUUCAGACCAUAUACAGCCUUCUGGAGAAUCUUGCCCCAGUCCUGAAAGGUUUUGGUAUCAGGAUGAUGCUGGCAUCAUAAAAUGAGUAUUUUUCUUCAGACUUCAGACUGCUGUGCUGGAAGCAAGAAUUUCAAGCAUUGGAUCUUAGCUUGCUGGGCUCCAUAGGGGUGGGAUCCACUGAGCUAGACCACUUGGCUCCCUGGCUUCAGCCCCCUUCCAGAUGUCCUUGGCGUGUACACCCUGUGGAAUCUGGUUCAUCUUCAAUCUGUCAGAAGGCAUCAGAGGUGGUUUUGACUCCUUAUGUCUUGGACCUGUGCACAAAAAGUGUAAAAUGGAUGGAACAUCAGACAGCUCAUUAUAGAGACAAGUAAGCUCCAGUUCCAAAGUUGGUUGACAGAACAAGUCAUGACCUUGUGUGGAGGAAAAUGAGAUCCCGAGUGAAGUCUACAAUGUCAUUGACUCUGAAGAAGGACUCAGAGACCCAUUGGUGUUUAAUGACCCUUACUGGCCUAUGCAAUGGAAACUGGUAUGAUCUUCAGAAAUAGAUGGUUCUUUGGCAGUGUUAAGAAA
rnacentral:lncRNA from 1 species